rnacentral:rRNA from 1 species
AACGAACGCUGGCGGCAGGCUUAACACAUGCAAGUCGAGCGCCCCGCAAGGGGAGCGGCAGACGGGUGAGUACCGCGUGGGAACGUACCUUUUGGUUCGGAACAACUCCGGGAAACUGGAGCUAAUACCGGAUAAGCCCUAACGGGGAAAGAUUUAUCGCCGAAAGAUCGGCCCGCGUCUGAUUAGCUAGUUGGUGAGGUAACGGCUCACCAAGGCGACGAUCAGUAGCUGGUCUGAGAGGAGGAUCAGCCACACUGGGACUGAGACACGGCCCAGACUCCUACGGGGAGCAGCAGUGGGGAAUAUUGGACAAUGGGCGCAAGCCUGAUCCAGCCAUGCCGCGUGAGUGAUGAAGGCCUUAGGGUUGUAAAGCUCUUUUGUCCGGGAAGAUAAUGACUGUACCGGAAGAAUAAGCCCCGGCUAACUUCGUG